UGCCCAGCUGCACUCCGCAGACACCCACCCAGCCCAAGCUUCCACCAGCCGGUCGAGGGCGGGGUGGGCACCUCCCUUUCUCAGCAGUUCUCUGAUGGCUCCUCACUUUUGGUCUUCUGUUCGUUCCUCAGACAUCUGAUAAAGACAUGGGGGCUCAGGGCGGUGGAGACCUGCCCAAGGUGACAGCACAGAUCAGUGCUGGUCCCAGAAUUCAAUCCCAGGUCUGACUCCAGAAUCAGACCAUGUGCUGCGCCCAUGCCUCAGUUUCCUCAUUUCUGCCACGAAGGCCUGGAAGAGAGGAUUUCAUAUUUGGCCUGCUUUAGCGCAAAAGGCUGCUGACCCCAGAGUUCCCUCUUCAGAGUAUCCCACCAAGGAGACCUGAUCUUGAGCCUGGAGCCCCGAACCGAUGCUUGAGUGAGUUGAGCA
rnacentral:lncRNA from 13 species